AAAUGCAGAUGACAGGAGCAGAGACGGAGGCCACUGGGCACAGGAGAGAUUUGGGAUGGAGAGCUGGUGAGCCUUUCUCUGUUCUCCACAUCUGAAAGUCUGGCUUUAGGCACAAUAUUUAUGAACUUUAGCAAUAUGCACAAAUCAAAUGAGCUGAAAAAUCAGACCAGGCAGAUAAAAGUAAAAUCAUCUUACUGAAAUUCCUGGAAACAACAGUUUCAGCCAUUUGACAUAUAAACUAGAAGAUUUGGUGCCCAGCAUGAAGAAUAGUUCCUUUCAAGUACCUGUAUGUCCUGAAUGUAUUCCUUCCAGUGGGUUCUUGGUCUCGCUGACUUCAAGAAUGAAGCCUUGGACCCUCGUGAUAUGUGCUCACCCUUCUCUGCUCAGCUCUGUGCCUGGGAGGCUGACCUCUACAAACUGCAUCACCAGGCUUCCGCCCUCUGGCUUCCAGAUGGAUUUGGCCAAUGGGCAGCACCAGUGGGAAAGGAGAGGACAGGAGGAGAGACAGGCUGAGGCCUCCCUCCUCCUGUGUCCCUGACAUACAGUGACAGUGCUGCCCUGCAGCUCAGGAUGGAUGCAGUCAAGGACGACAGCGCAUGUCCAAAAAAGCUGUCUGCUGAACAUUUGCCCAGCAGAUUUUAGAAAGAAAGGAAACAUCUUAGUGAUUUUCUUGCCUCCAGAAGAUUCCCUGAUCCAAUCUUUCCUUGGCACAAACUUUUAGUUAUUGUGUUUACAUAUACAUUUUAUAUAUGUGUGGUCAUUAUUGUAUCUGUUUUAUUUGGGGACUUUAUCUUGAUGUGUGUUAUACCUAAUACACUGCAAUAUAAAUUAUGUAAUUA
ensembl:lncRNA LINC01621 long intergenic non-protein coding RNA 1621